GAUGAACGCUAGCGACAGGCCUAACACAUGCAAGUCGAGGGGCAGCACAUGAGUAGCAAUACGAUGGUGGCGACCGGCGCACGGGUGAGCAACACGUAUGCAACCUGCCUGUAAGAGGGGAAUAACCCGGAGAAAUUCGGACUAAUACCGCAUAAUACCGAGAGACUGCAUGGUUUUUCGGUUAAACAUUUAUGGCUUACAGAUGGGCAUGCGUAUGAUUAGCUAGUUGGUGAGGUAACGGCUCACCAAGGCAACGAUCAUUAGGGGUUCUGAGAGGAAGGUCCCCCACACUGGUACUGAGAUACGGACCAGACUCCUACGGGAGGCAGCAGUGAGGAAUAUUGGUCAAUGGGCGAGAGCCUGAACCAGCCAAGUCGCGUGAAGGAAGAAGGUUCUAUGGAUUGUAAACUUCUUUUGUAAGGGAAUAAAACACACCACGUGUGGUGUCUUGUAUGUACUUUACGAAUAAGGAUCGGCUAACUCCGUGCCAGCAGCCGCGGUAAUACGGAGGAUCCGAGCGUUAUCCGGAUUUAUUGGUUUAAAGGGUGCGUAGGCGGACCCGUAAGUCAGUGGUGAAAGUUUGCAGCUCAACUGUAAAAUUGCCAUUGAAACUACGGAUCUUGAGUGUAAAUGAGGUAGGCGGAAUGUGUUGUGUAGCGGUGAAAUGCUUAGAUAUAACACAGAACACCAAUUGCGAAGGCAGCUUACUGGGAUACAACUGACGCUGAGGCACGAAAGCGUGGGGAUCAAACAGGAUUAGAUACCCUGGUAGUCCACGCAGUAAACGAUGAAUACUAGCUGUAUGCGAUAUACUGUAUGUGGCAAAGCGAAAGCGUUAAGUAUUCCACCUGGGGAGUACGUUCGCAAGAAUG
rnacentral:rRNA from 1 species